GAUGAACGCUAGCGGGAGGCUUAAUACAUGCAAGUCGAGCGGCAAGUUUUGAUAGCAAUAUUGGAACCUAGAGCGGCGCACGGGUGAGUAACGCGUGAGCAACCUGACCUUAGAGGGGAGUAACAUUUGGUAAACAGAUGCUAAUACCGCAUAAGACCACGAUCCGACAUCGGGACGAGGUCAAAGGAGCAAUCCGCUGAGGGAGGGGCUCGCGUCCCAUUAGAUAGAUGGCGGGGUAACGGCCCGACCAUGUCGACGAUGGGUAGCCGAGCUGAGAGGCUGAUCGGCCACACUGGAACUGAGACACGGUCCAGACUCCUACGGGAGGCAGCAGUAGGGAAUAUUGGACAAUGGGCGAAAGCCUGAUCCAGCCAUGCCGCGUGAUAGAUGAAGGCCCUCUGGGUUGUAAAUAUCUUUUAUCUGGGAAGAAACACCUCGUUUCUACGAGGCUUG
rnacentral:rRNA from 1 species